rnacentral:rRNA from 1 species
UGCUCCUUUGACGUUAGCGGCGGACGGGUGAGUAACACGUGGAUAACCUACCUAUAAGACUGGGAUAACUUCGGGAAACCGGAGCUAAUACCGGAUAACAUAUUGAACCGCAUGGUUCAAUAGUGAAAGGCGGCUUUGCUGUCACUUAUAGAUGGAUCCGCGCCGUAUUAGCUAGUUGGUAAGGUAACGGCUUACCAAGGCAACGAUACGUAGCCGACCUGAGAGGGUGAUCGGCCACACUGGAACUAGACACGGUCCAGACUCCUACGGGAGGCAGCAGUAGGGAAUCUUCCGCAAUGGGCGAAAGCCUGACGGAGCAACGCCGCGUGAGUGAUGAAGGUCUUCGGAUCGUAAAACUCUGUUAUCAGGGAAGAACAAAUGUGUAAGUAACUGUGCACAUCUUGACGGUACCUGAUCAGAAAGCCACGGCUAACUACGUGCCAGCAGCCGCGGUAAUACGUAGGUGGCAAGCGUUAUCCGGAAUUAUUGGGCGUAAAGCGCGCGUAGGCGGUUUUUUAAGUCUGAUGUGAAAGCCCACGGCUCAACCGUGGAGGGUCAUUGGAAACUGGAAAACUUGAGUGCAGAAGAGGAAAGUGGAAUUCCAUGUGUAGCGGUGAAAUGCGCAGAGAUAUGGAGGAACACCAGUGGCGAAGGCGACUUUCUGGUCUGUAACUGACGCUGAUGUGCG